rnacentral:rRNA from 1 species
UAGCUAGUUGGUGAGGUAACGGCCCACCAAGGCAACGAUCGGUAGCCGGACUGAGAGGUUGAACGGCCACAUUGGGACUGAGACACGGCCCAGACUCCUACGGGAGGCAGCAGUGGGGAAUAUUGCACAAUGGGGGAAACCCUGAUGCAGCGACGCCGCGUGGAGGAAGAAGGUCUUCGGAUUGUAAACUCCUGUUGUUGGGGAAGAUAAUGACGGUACCCAACAAGGAAGUGACGGCUAACUACGUGCCAGCAGCCGCGGUAAAACGUAGGUCACAAGCGUUGUCCGGAAUUACUGGGUGUAAAGGGAGCGCAGGCGGGAAGACAAGUUGGAAGUGAAAUCUAUGGGCUCAACCCAUAAACUGCUUUCAAAACUGUUUUUCUUGAGUAGUGCAGAGGUAGGCGGAAUUCCCGGUGUAGCGGUGGAAUGCGUAGAUAUCGGGAGGAACACCAGUGGCGAAGGCGGCCUACUGGGCACCAACUGACGCUGAGGCUCGAAAGUGUGGGUAGCAAACAGGAUUAGAUACCCUGGUAGUCCACACCGUAAACGAUGAUUACUAGGUGUUGGAGGACUGACCCCUUCAGUGCCGCAGUUAACACAAUAAGUAAUCCACCUGGGGAGUACGACCGCAAGGUUGAAACUCAAAGGAAUUGACGGGGGCCCGCACAAGCAGUGGAGUAUGUGGUUUAAUUCGACGCAACGCGAAGAACCUUACCAAGUCUUGACAUCCUGCGACGCACAUAGAAAUAUGUGUUUCCUUCGGGACGCAGAGACAGGUGGUGCAUGGUUGUCGUCAGCUCGUGUCGUGAGAUGUUGGGUUAAGUCCCGCAACGAGCGCAACCCUUAUGGUCAGUUACUACGCAAGAGGACUCUGGCCAGACUGCCGUUGACAAAACGGAGGAAGGUGGGGAUGACGUCAAAUCAUCAUGCCCUUUAUGACUUGGGCUACACACGUACUACAAUGGCGUUAAACAAAGAGAAGCAAGACCGCGAGGUGGAGCAAAACUCAGAAACAACGUCCCAGUUCGGACUGCAGGCUGCAACUCGCCUGCACGAAGUCGGAAUUGCUAGUAAUCGCAGAUCAGCAUGCUGCGGUGAAUACGUUCCCGGGCCUUGUACACACCGCCCGUCACACCAUGAGAGCCGGGGGGACCCGAAGUCGGUAGUCUAACCGCAAGGAGGACGCCGCCGAAGGUAAAACUGGUGAUUGGGGUGAAGUCGUAACAAGGUAG